GACGAGCGGCGGACGGGUGAGUAAUGUCUGGGAAACUGCCCGAUGGAGGGGGAUAACCACUGGAAACGGUGGCUAAUACCGCAUAACGUCUACGGACCAAAGAGGGGGACCUUCGGGCCUCUUGCCAUCGGAUGUGCCCAGAUGGGAUUAGCUAGUAGGUGGGGUAACGGCUCACCUAGGCGACGAUCCCUAGCUGGUCUGAGAGGAUGACCAGCCACACUGGAACUGAGACACGGUCCAGACUCCUACGGGAGGCAGCAGUGGGGAAUAUUGCACAAUGGGCGCAAGCCUGAUGCAGCCAUGCCGCGUGUGUGAAGAAGGCCUUCGGGUUGUAAAGCACUUUCAGCGAGGAGGAAGGCCAAUAGCUUAAUACGUUGUUGGAUUGACGUUACUCGCAGAAGAAGCACCGGCUAACUCCGUGCCAGCAGCCGCGGUAAUACGGAGGGUGCAAGCGUUAAUCGGAAUUACUGGGCGUAAAGCGCACGCAGGCGGUUUGUUAAGUCAGAUGUGAAAUCCCCGCGCUUAACGUGGGAACUGCAUUUGAAACUGGCAAGCUAGAGUCUCGUAGAGGGGGGUAGAAUUCCAGGUGUAGCGGUGAAAUGCGUAGAGAUCUGGAGGAA
rnacentral:rRNA from 1 species